rnacentral:rRNA from 1 species
UACGUAGGGUGCAAGCGUUAAUCGGAAUUACUGGGCGUAAAGGGCUCGUAGGCGGCCAACUAAGUCAGACGUGAAAUCCCUCGGCUUAACCGGGGAACUGCGUCUGAUACUGGAUGGCUUGAGUUUGGGAGAGGGAUGCGGAAUUCCAGGUGUAGCGGUGAAAUGCGUAGAUAUCUGGAGGAACACCGGUGGCGAAGGCGGCAUCCUGGACCAACACUGACGCUGAGUGAGCGAAAGCCAGGGGAGCAAACGGG